rnacentral:rRNA from 1 species
UACGAAGGGGGCUAGCGUUGCUCGGAUUGACUGGGCGUAAAGGGCGCGUAGGCGGUUCGUACAGUCAGACGUGAAAUUCCUGGGCUCAACCUGGGGGCUGCGUUUGAUACGUGCGGACUUGAGUGCGGAAGAGGGUCGUGGAAUUCCCAGUGUAGAAGUGAAAUUCGUAGAUAUUGGGAAGAACACCGGUGGCGAAGGCGGCGACCUGGUCCGAUACUGACGCUGAGGCGCGAAAGCGUGGGGAGCAAACAGG